CCGGGGCGACAGCAAUAUGAAGGUCAGGCUGAAGACCUUACCCGAUUAGCUGAGAGGUGGUGCAUGGCCGUCGUCAGUUCGUACUGUGAAGCAUCCUGUUAAGUCAGGCAACGAGCGAGACCCACGUCCACAGUUGCCAGCAUACCCUCCGGGGUGAUGGGUACACUGUGGAGACCGCCGCUGCUAAAGCGGAGGAAGGAGUGGGCAACGGUAGGUCAGUAUGCCCCGAAUCUCCCGGGCUACACGCGGGCUACAAUGGUUGGUACAAUGGGCAUCUACCCCGAAAGGGGAAGGAAAUCUCUUAAAGCCAAUCGUAGUUCGGAUUGAGGGCUGCAACUCGCCCUCAUGAAGCUGGAAUCCGUAGUAAUCGCGUUUCAACAGAACGCGGUGAAUACGUCCCUGCUCCUU
rnacentral:rRNA from 1 species